rnacentral:rRNA from 1 species
CCUACCAUGGUGGUAACGGGUAACGGGGUGUUAGGGCACGACACCGGAGAGGGAGCCUGAGAAACGGCUACCACAUCCAAGGAUGGCAGCAGGCGCGCAAAUUACCCAAUCCCGACACGGGGAGGUAGUGACAAUAAAUAACAAUACGGGGUUCUUUCGGAUCUCGUAAUUGGAAUGAGUACAAUUUAAAUCUCUUAACGAGGAACAAUUGGAGGGCAAGUCUGGUGCCAGCAGCCGCGGUAAUUCCAGCUCCAAUAGCGUAUAUUAAAGUUGUUGCAGUUAAAAAGCUCGUAGUUGAAUUUCGAGGUCAAUAUGUUGGUCGUGCCUCGGUACGUACUUGCAUCAUUGAUUUCUACCUUCUGAUGAACCAUGAUGCCAUUAAUUUGGUGUUGUGGGGAAUCAGGACUGUUACUUUGAAAAAAUUAGAGUGUUUAAAGCAGGCUCACGCUUGAAUACAUUAGCAUGGAAUAAUGAAAUAGGACGUUUGAUUCUAUUUUGUUGGUUUCUAGGAUCGACGUAAUGAUUAAUAGGGAUAGUUGGGGGCAUUAGUAUUCAAUUGUCAGAGGUGAAAUUCUUGGAUUUAUUGAAGACUAACUACUGCGAAAGCAUUUGCCAAGGAUGUUUUCAUUAAUCAAGAACGAAAGUUAGGGGAUCGAAGACGAUCAGAUACCGUCGUAGUCUUAACCAUAAACUAUGCCGACUAGGGAUCGGAUGAUGUUAAUUUUUUAAUGACUCAUUC